rnacentral:lncRNA from 1 species
GGGUUUUUAGGUGCUUAAAGUAUUACACCAAGAGACGUCAAGUUUUGGAACGCUCAACAGUGUUACCUCCAGCGUAGGAAACCCUAGAUUUUAAAUAAGCUAUUGGGCUCCACAGAUAUGGGCCUUAAUACGCUUUCACUUAUUGGGCUUGUAUGUGAACAUAUUAUUUGGACUAUAUUAUAACAAAAUAUCCAAUAAUAAUAAUAUAUCCAACAAUCUCCUCCUAUGUUCACCAUACAGCACAAUCCAAUACAGUGGUCAGUGUAAUGUUCAAACAAUUAUGAAUCAUCCACAUUCAGUCCAAGACAAUCAACUCGGAUUAAAAACUCAAUCAUCAAUUGUAAUUCAAAUGAGUGAAUCAUUCAUAUCAUGAAUCUGUUCUGAGAUCGACAUAUCCAAAAUGAUUCUCAAAAUCAGUUCACAACCAACAUAUGCAUAACAGUCAAAUAUAAGUAGGCCAGUCAAAAUAAUCCAAGGCCUUACAAAUAAAAGAAAAAGACAUAAUAAUGUUCACAAAUAGAGAUAGCCAAAAACAAGUCUUAAGUAAAUGGACUCCAUCAAAACAGGUAAUAGUAGGUGAACUGUCAAGUUCCCGUACACUCUAAAUGAUAUAUAUAUUCAUUCAUCAAAUAGAUCAUCCUGAUCUGGAUCUCACUUAUUAAGCUCUCCUCCAUCCCUACCAUCCUCUGUAGAAUAUCAAAUAUAAAUUUCAUAUUAUCAUGAAUUUAAUCAUUUGAAUAAUCCACUAAAAAUGUCUAGUUCUACUAAAAGAACUUAGCAUCAUAACAUCAGGCAGAGAAGAAUAUAUAUUAAUGUCAUAAAGCAUCAUAAUAUCAUGUUCACAAGUAUCAAGCCAGUUUCAUAAAUUAUGAAUAAAGCCUAAAUAGUUUGAUUUAUAAAGAGCCAUCAACUUAAGUUUAUUUGUAAGAGAAUAAUCAUUGUCUAGUUUCAAAGAACAUGACCAAAACCAACAGGCUUCUUAUGCAGAUAGCUAUUUCUAUGUUUCAAUUUGGAAUGUCACAGUUACUAAUUCUUUAAAGUCAAAUAAUCUAGCAUCAAGUUUGGAAUGAGAUCAUUUAACUAAGAAAAGAAUAGUCCAGCCUAGUUGGAUUGUAUCAUCAAGUUUGGAAUGACACAAGCCUUCCAGGUAGAACUUUGAACUAGGUUAAAGUCAUUUUCAUCAAGUUUGGAAUGAAACAACUCACCUUUUUCAAAUUAGUCCGCAACCAUGAACAUCGAUGAAACAUAUAAAUUGUGCUUGACCACCAAAGGAAGGAAGAUUCGAUAAUUCAAAACAUACAAUUAGAAAGUAAGUAAAUGGUAAUUAAGACUAAUUUACAUAGUCUUUAACCCCAUUUCCCCCACUGUUUUGAAUAAUCGAUCUUUAGUCAUACCUUUUGUGAGAGUAUCGGCCAUGUUAUCCUUCGAUCUCACAUCGAUCAAGGUGAUAACCCCUUGUUCUCUCAGAUAAUUCAACAACGCAUGUCUCAGUCUCACAUGUCUUCUCUUUGAAUUAAAGAAAGCAUUUUUGACAACUUGGACAGCUGCUUGAUUAUCACAGAACAGGCUUAAAGAAUUAAUCUGUAGCCGAGUCAAAGGAAUAUCCAAAAUCAGAUUCUUUAUCCAUUCUGCUUCUUCGCCAGCGGAAGCUAAAGCAAAAAGUUCCGAUUCCAUAGACGACAAGGCAAUACAAGUCUGUCUUUUGGAUUUCCAAGUAAUAGCAGCUCCACCCAAAGUGAAUACAUAUCCACUUGUGGACUUACUAUUUCCAAUUUCUGAGCACCAUGAGGCAUCAGAAUAUCCAUCCACAGUUGGAGGAUAACCAGAAUAACAUAGAGCAUAAUCUUUCGUACCUUUAAGGUAUCUCAUCAGCCUACUAAGGGCAUCCCAAUGCUCUUUACUAGGAUUACUAGUGAAACGACUCAGCAUGCCAACUGUAAAGGCGAUGUCGGGUCUAGUGCAACUCAUAGCAUACAUGAGACUACCAAUCAGUUUUGAGUACUUUAAUUGAUCCACACUGGUCCCUUCAUUAGGACUCAGUCUUUUAUUAUAAUCACAUGGUGUCUCACUCGGUUUACAAUCACUGUAUCCCCAGGUAGAAAGUAGCUGCUCAAUAUAAUGAGUCUGGCUAAGGGAGAUGACUUGCCUUUCAAAUCUUACUUUCAUACCAAGAAUGGUAUUAGCAAUACCAAGAUCUUUCAUGUCAAAUUCUUUAGCUAAAGUAGCUUUCACGUCACUCACUACAGAAUGAUCGGAGCCAAGAAUUAACAUGUCAUCAACAUAUAAGCAAAUGAUGACUAUCUUAUUUGACACAGAACGAUGGUAAAGGCAUUUAUCUGAAUAGCUAGACUGAAAGCCAUAACUCUUUACCACUUUGUCAAAUUUAAGAUGCCACAUCUUAGGUGCUUGUUUAAGACCGUACAAAGAUUUAUUCAAUUUACAAACUUUGUCCUCAAGACCUUUCAUGACAUACCCUUCAGGUUGUUCCAUGUAGAUUUCUUCAUUUAACUCUCCAUUUAGAAAAGCUGUUUUUACAUCCAUUUGAUGCACUACAAAGUGUUCAAUAGAUGCCAAAGCAAGAAGAAUUCUUAUAGUUGAUAGAUGACACACAGGUGAAUAAACAUCAAAAUAGUCUAUUCCACUCUGCUGUUUAUAGCCUUUAGCUACUAAGCGUGCUUUGUAUCUGGCUAUUGAUCCAUCACUAUUCAGUUUCUUUUUCAAUACCCACUUACAGCCUAUAGCCUUAGCCCCUUUAGGCAAAUUGACUAGCUGCCAAGUGUGGUUCUGCAACAGAGAGCUCAUUUCAUCAUCUAUGGCUUCUGCCCACAGUAGGGAUUCCCUAGAUCUCAUUGCUUCUUGAUAAGAAAAUGGAUCAUCCUCGAGAUGGUAAGUAACAAAAUUCUCACCAAAACUUUUGGGAACUCUCUCUCUUGUAGAUAUUCUAACUGGAACUGAUUCAAUAGCCAAUUGUGUGGGAUUAGUGUCAGAAGGGCCUGCUUCAGAUUCUACAGGAGAUUCUGAAAUCAUAUCUGUAGAUCCAGAAACAUUCAAGCCAUGAUCUCUGAGAAACUUAUUCUCAAAGAAUUCUGCAUCUCUAGAUUCUAUCACUGUGUUAGUAGAUAGAUCUAAAAACCUAUCUGCAGCACUAUCUUCUGCACUGCCUAGAUAUACACAGGUAAUGGUUCUAGGUCCCACCUUAGGCCUCUUUGGAUCUUGUAUUCUUACAUAAGCAAUACAGCCCCAGGUCUUAAGAGUAUCAUAUCUACAAGGAUGCUUAUGCCAUAUCUCAUAAGGUGUCAUAGACAAUUUAGAGUGUGGCAACCUGUUCAGGAUGUGAUUAGCAGUCAGAACUGCUUCUCCCCAAUAGGAGGAAGGCAUGCCAGCUGUAAGUAACAUAGAAUUUAACAUUUCAGUUAACGUUCUAUUCUUACGCUCAGCAACACCAUUUGAUUGGGGUGAGUAAGGAGCAGUGGUUUCAAGUAUUAUGCCCUCUGAAGCACAAAAUUCCUUGAACCCUGUCAUUGUAUAUUCUCCUCCUCUAUCACUCCUAAACCUCUUAAUUUUCAUGUUGAGUUGAUUUUCUACUCUAGAUUUGAAAAUUUUAAACUUUUCAAAAGCCUCAUCUUUCGAUUUCAACAAAUAGACAUGACAAUAUCUAGAAAAAUCGUCUAUGAAUGUUAUCAAAUACUUUCGACCACCUCUAGUGACGUAAUUUCUAAAAUCACAAAGAUCAGAAUGUAUUAGCUCAAGAAGUUGUGUGCUUUUAGAAACCAUCUUAAAAGGUUUUCUAGUGAUCUUAGCUUGUGCACACACUUCACAUUUGUCAAAUCGAAUAGAAGUAUCCAAUGGAAUGUUGUGAGUUUUAGCUAGAAGUUGCAUUUUCCUGUAGUUCACAUGUCCAAGUCUAUUGUGCAACAACUUUGGAUCAAUCAGAAUAGAACUCACAUGGUUUAUGCUAUCAGUAUCUAAACUCAACCUAUACAUACCAUUAACCAUGAAUGCACAACCAAAAUAACAUGAGUUAACUGAUAAGGUUACUCUACCAUUCAUAGUUGAAAAGGACAUACCAGCUUUAUCAAGUAAGCUCAUAGAUAUCAAAUUCUUUUUAAGUAAAGGUACUACUCUAACAUGUUUCAGAGUUAGUAAUUUACCUGAAGAAAGCACCAAAUUUGCAGUUCCAGUAUGAGUCACUUCUGCCUCACCACCAUUGCAAUUUUCCACGGUGUCUUUCACUUCUGUGACCUCUGUGAGUAGGUUCUUGUCAUUUGCAGCAUGACAAGUAGCGCCACUAUCCAACCACCACUCAGAAGAAAUACUAGCCUUUCCAAUUUUCAUCAUUCCAAUGAAGGCUUGAGGCUCAGAUUCACUAAUUAGCAUAUUAGCCUCACUUUGUGGUGUGUUAUUCUUUGGCUUCUUUGGUAGUCUACACUCUGCUGCCCAGUGACCCCACUUUCCACAGUUAUGGCACUUUCCUUUCUUCUUCUUUUUGGAGAUAGUCUUUUUGACCUCUAGCUGUGAAGAAGAUUCACCUUUUGGUGACUUGGAUCUUUUCUGAGGUUUAUUGAAGUGUGAAACUAAGUUGGCAACUGACUUUUGUUGUCCUACUUGUUCUAAAUUCUUUCUAGUACUGUUUUGAUCCUCAAUGUGAAUAUACCUCUUUAAUUCAUCCAGUCCCAUCUGUUCUUUCAAUCUGUGCAUUUCAGUCUUGAAAGAAUUCCAUUCAGCAGGUAACUUACUCAAUACAAGACCAACAAAGAGAUUAUCAGACAUAUCAGAUUUAUCAUCUUUCAGCUUGUUCCUCAUGUUCUCAAGUUCAAUUAAUUGAGAGGUGAUACUUGAAUUCAUAUUGAACUUAAAGUCAAAAAAUUUCUCCGCUAGAAGAGUUUUAGAAAGCCCCUCUUGUUUUUGGAACUGAGCGUUCAAGUGAUCCCAUAUCUCUUUCGCUGUCUUAUACUCACUAUAAGUCAUAGCUAGACGAGGAUUUAAAGAGUUCAACAAGUAAUCUCUACAGAAAUCUUCAUCCUUGUUCCAUUGAUAUUCAUCCACAUUUUCAAUGGUAGAUGCAAAAUCACUCAGAACAGUGUAGAAUAUUUCACGUUCUUUCAUGCCAAAUUGAACAUGUAAUUUCCAACCAUGAAAUUCAGUAACAUCAAAUGAUUGCAAUUUUAUAAUAUCAAAAGAACUACGCUUUGCCAUUUAAUCAGAGCAAAGUGUUAGAAAGAGUGCACCUUGUAGUCCGCAGAUCUCGCAAAGUCGAAUAAAGCCCCUGAUCUGAAUCAAAGUGCUUUGUAGAGGUGGAAUUUGCCAAAAACAAACCCAAAAUUGGAUCCGUAGCGCCCAAAAACCUUAAGAUGAACUGCCCUCGUCGCCGGAAACUGCUGAAAACUUCCGAUGGCCGUAACUUCGUCGUCCGACCUCCGUUCGAGACGAGUAACCACUCAAAACGUUCGUAUCGACGAGUAGAACAGAACCCAAGUGGUUUCACCCUCUGAAAUUGGCUGUAAUUUCUGGAUUUUUGAAUCAAAGAAUUCCGCCGCCUGACUUUCAAACUCAGAUCCCGGCCAAUCCGAUCGUCGAAAUCGAAAAUAAAUUAUACCGGUGAAUUCGUCUUGACGAGAUCUUCGAAUCGAUACCUUACUCGCUCAAAUCCGAUAUAGGAUCGUAAUACUUUAAGAUUGUUGGAGGUUAGGGUUUUUAGGUGCUUAAAGUAUUACACCAAGAGACGUCAAGUUUUGGAACGCUCAACAGUGUUACCUCCAGCGUAGGAAACCCUAGAUUUUAAAUAAGCUAUUGGGCUCCACAGAUAUGGGCCUUAAUACGCUUUCACUUAUUGGGCUUGUAUGUGAACAUAUUAUUUGGACUAUAUUAUAACAAAAUAUCCAAUAAUAAUAAUAUAUCCAACAGAAUCACCCCUCCGACCCCUUACUCAAUAAUCUUGGGGUUUCGAUUUUUUUCACAAUUUCUUUUUGCAAUUUUUCAGUGUCGAAAUAAGUUUUUUUCUUUGAAUUCUUUUUUCUUUUCCAUGAAUUUAGCAUGAAUUUUUAAAAAUUUUGAUUUCAGAAAAAAAUAGCAAUAGUAUGUUUGAUUUUAGUGCCCAUCAAAAUUUAAUAGAUUUUUUUAUAUGGAUUUUUUUCAUGAUUUGUUCUCAAAUUUUCAGUGUAAUACUCAAUUUUUACAUGAUUUUUUUCACUAUUUUUCAUGAUUUUUGUAUGAUUUUUCUGGGUGAAUGCCCAAGCUAUGUUGCACUUUGAAAAAAAGUAUCUGAGAACUAUAAUAAUUUUAAUUUAGUGAAUAAAAUUAAUAAUAAUAUGUUCGAUUUAAGUUUUUUUUAUCAUAAUUUUUUUUUUUUUAAUUUUUUGUUACACAAUAUUUGGUAAUCUAUAGAGUAAUAUUUUGAUAUUCAAUGAAAUAUUUAAUAAAUUUUGUAAUAUAAAGUUGAAAAGUUCCAAAAUUGAUAAAAUAUUAUGAAGAUUUUACUAAAUUCAAAAGAAAUAUACUAUACUGUGUGAUUUUUUUUCUUUGUUCUUUUAUUUUUUGUAAGUGUUUUGGAGUAAAAAAAUUUAAUUUUCACCCGUGAGAACAUUAUUUAAUAUGAAAGUUUUUUCAUUUUCUUGUUUCAUUUUUUUCUUAUAUUAGAAUAAUCUCUAGAUUUGCAUGUCUCUCCCUCUCCCCCUUUUAUCUCUUUCUCUUCCCUCCCCUCUCUCUGUCAUAUCUUGAUAUGUCUCUCUCUCUCCUUUCUUUUCUCUCUCUAUAAGAUUUUAUAAUAAUCUUUUCUUUCUUUCUCCUCCAUAUACAUUUCUAUCUCUUCUUUCCUCUUUCUCCCCUCUCUUUUUUUCUCUCUAUUCCCUCCCCUCUCUCUAUCAUAUCUUAUUGGAUUUUAUAAUAAUCUGUAAAAUCUUUCCAAAUAACACUAUUUCCUAGGCAAUUGUUAUGCCUCGAAACCUUAACUCUCACUCUUACAACUCUCUCUCUUCUUAAAUAUUUCAAUCAUACAUAUCCUAUAAGCUCUCAUAAAAUAUGCUCAAACUUUUUAUACUUUUUCUUCUCUAUCAAACUACAAAAUUCUUAUAAUUUUUUUUGCACUCUUUUUUCCAAUCUUUUCUCCUCAAAAUUUAUAUAAUUUUUUCUCUCUAUUAAAACAACAAAUAUCUUACAAUUUUUCUUUCCCUUAUCAUUUUAUUUUUCUUUGGCUGGUACGUGCAUGCCUCAAAAUUGUUACUCACAUUAAAUUUACAUUCUUAUAAUUUUUUUUCAUUUUUUCCCACCAAUCCAAAUAAAUGUGAAUUUUUUUCUUUCAACCAAACAAAUGUUGAUAGAAAACUACUUUUUCUUCCUAUAAACCAAACACUACAAAAUAUAAAACAUUUUACUCCUGAUAAUUUUUUAAUAAAAAAUUAAUUUUCGCGAUUUUAUGUAGAACCGACCCUAAGUUUAUUUUUUUAAGAAAACAAACUAAAUGNGUUUUAUAUCCAACCAAAUACCCUCUUAGAUGUUUUUUUUUUAGAAUUAAUUAUUCUCUUUCGCAUGCUUAUUAUUAUUUCUAUUUAAUUAUAUGUCUUGAAGCAUUACAUUUAUAUUAAAAUAAAUAUUGUGAUUUCAUCUUUGAAUAUAAUUUUUUUUAUAUCUAUCUACUGCGAAGCACGGGCCCUUCACUAAUUUUACUUAAUAAUGUUACCUUUUGUUUUGUACUAAAAGAAACUUUAUUUCGGUUGAAGUGUAUGUAAACCCCCUCAACCGUAGAUUGUCUCGAAAUUGCCCCUUAAUUUUAUAUAUUUUUUUUAUUUGGCACUUCACUAAUUUUUAAUUUUCUUGAAUUAAUAGUUUUAGUAAAUAAAUUAAAAGUCUUAUGAAAUCCAAUUAUGAUUUCAUCAUAUUUAACUAUUCAAUCUUAUUUUAGCUAGUAAAACUAAAAUUAUUACCGACUGUAUAAUAGCUAAUAAAAUGCUAGAUUCCUAUCCGAGUGGAUAACCAUCUAACUCUCGCAUGUUGAGACCUAGCGGAAGAUUUGAACAAAACAACGAUCUUUGAUGUAGGAGAAAAAUGAUAGAAUUAUGAAAAGAACAUACUUUUGGGUCAAAAGAUCAUAAUUCCUUGUUCUUUUUUCUCUACAAUAUAAGUCUCAACUUAACUAAAAGAUCUAAAAUUUUAAAAAGAAAUGAUUUCCUUAUUCACUGUCAGCUAUCAAAUUAGCUAUUUACUGAGCAGUUUAUUCAAUUUAUGUAAUUAUUAUAUCACAUUGAAUUGAAUAUAGGCCAAUUUGCAUAAAAAAUCCACAAAUUUUGAGCUUUUGCAAAACUGGACCACCUUUUUUUUAUUUUGCAGAUUCAGUUCAAAUUUUCAGCAAACUGAUCAAAAUACUCUUAUUAUUUUUUUCUCUCUCCUCUUUUUUUUCUCUCGUUUAUUUUUUUCUCUCUCUCCGAAGAAGGCAGCGAAGGCAGAGAAGAUGGCGGAAACGGCCCGCUUCGCCUCUCACCCUCAUGCCCUCGCCCUCACCCUCGCCCGCGCACCCACCGCCUUCCUCGCCUCCGACCCCACUGAGACCGCGCUGCGACUUUUUUUUUUACCCCCUCUUCGACCUCCUCCACCAUCUCUGAUGACAGCGCCUCUUUCGCCCUUCCCUGCCUUUUCACCCUCAUGCCCUCGCCCUCGCCUGCACACCUCCCGCAUUCCUCACCUCCGACCCCGUUGAGACCGUGCCGCGACUUUUUUUGUCCCUCUCCGACCCUCCUCCACCAUCUCCAACGAUGGCGCCUCUUGCCCUUCUCGCCCUCUCCCUACUCCUCCGCCUCUACCUCCGCCUCCUCCGCUUUCUCCAACGACGAUGUUUCUCCGCUAAUGCCGAUGUCACGGAGGUCGCUGCGGCGCCGCAGCCUCGGAGUGGGGGGUCCUUAGUGGCAUCGUCGCUAGGGCAUUGGCCGUUGGCGGAGAACCGUGACUAAAAAAAAAUUAUAGAAAAAGGAAGAAGAAGAUGAAAUUGCAAUGUUAAAAUAAAUUUACAUUGUUUUAAAUUUUUUUUGCACUGUUUUAAAUAAAAGUUUCACUCUUUGAGACAGAAAUUACACUCUUUAGGAUCGGAUUUAUAUUUUUUAGGACAAAGUUACACUAUUUAGGUGAAAUUUACACCAUUUCUCUUUUCCUUCUUCUUUCUCCAAUUUACACCAUUUUUUUUCUUUUCCUCUUCUUCCUCCUCGCUUUUUAGUUUAUAGUAAACUUUAAGAUAUUGAAAUAAUUUUUACAUAAUUUUUUAAAAAAAUGGUGCAUAGACUUGUAAAGAAAAUGCAUCUGUGGAUGAUGUUGCUUCACUACACUGCAUAGAUGCGCGAGCAUCACAUAAUAGCACAUGAGCAUUUUGGCUUUAUAUCAUGAAGUGCUUUCUUUUUCCCAUGUGUGGUACGAAAUCCCACUGUUAGAACCAUUAUAAUAGAAUCAGCUCUUUCUUUUUAUUAUGUGAAACAUGUAUGUGAAUGAUGUGGAAUACUUUGGAGGCUUUAAGCAGGAGUUUCACACCCCGGGACCAGGCGGAGGCCCGCCCGGUGCGUGUCCAGACCCGCCAUAUGCCUGCACAUAUAAGGAGUCUACAACAAAGCGAUAUAAAGAAUAAGGAUAAACAAGUAUCUAGAGAUAUCAGAGCAAGUAUACAACUGGAUUCUAACAACAAGUAGGAUAAAAGAGAACUAAACCACUAAGAUAAAACAUAGAGUAAUACAUCAAAAAGCCUCAAAUACAAGUGCUACAAUAUCCAAAAUGGUUGUCUCUAUACAUGGGUACAAGAUCUCUCACUCUCUACAUAGAUACAAAAAUAGAGAGAAAAUCACCUAAAGUAAAAUCCCUCGCUAUCUAGCUCGAGGCAAUUUCUUUCCCGCGAUUCCGAGCCUCUCCUGGAGUGGAAGGCUCUGAAAGAAAAUAUCAAACAGGGGGUGUGAGAACUAUAAUUAAUAGUUUCCAGUGGGCAAUUACUGACCUUAACAAAAUGCACCACUAGGCCCAAAAGCAAAGUAGAUAAUUCUAACCUUUAGUUGGAAGCGAUAGCAUGAAAAUAAAACAUGAAUUAAAUUUGCUAGCUACUAUGCCACUACUUAACAUGAGUUCCAUAAUUGCAAUAGCUAGCCUAACAUAAAGGAGUACAUCGCAUGAAUAUGCUAGUAUGCUCUAACAUGUUAAACAAGUAUACUAUAAUGCAAUAAACAAUACUAUCAAGUAUACUACAAGUCCAAGUAUGUCACGAGCAUGUACACGAAAUUCAACUACUAUAAACUAUCUAGUAGUGAUUGUCAUAUUAUGGUUUAAUGUCAUUGUCCAAUCUCAUUCUAGGACCUACACAAGUGUAGUCCGGCUUGUGCUGCCUAAGUGCCCGUGGUAGCCCAACAUUUCCACUCUAGGAAUGAGUCUAUCCCACUCGGCCCCGUAGGCUUCUCAAUACUGCACGAGUGAGCAUAUGUCGCGUAGGCUAACUCCGGAGUGCCGGCUUGUAGGGAGCGACCCUCACAAGUAUGUGCGAAUGAGCACAAAUGGCAAGCAAGCAAAGUCAUCAUCUCAAGGAUUCGGUCAUCAUGUCUCUAACAUGGUAAUAAUCACUAGCAACCCCAACGGUCUAGUUUAAUGUUCCAAGGUAAGGUUUAACCAUAUAUUAAGUUCAAUGCCACUUUAUGAUAUUAACUUACUAAGUCCAAUCACAUUUCAAGCCCAAUGCCACUUUAUGACAUUAGCUUACUAUGUCCAAGCACAUUCCAAGCCCAACGCCAGUUUAUGACAUUAGCUUACUAGUUCACACAUCAUUAUAGUCUAAUGCCCCUUUAUGGCAUUGUGUUUUUUCCUAUGUCCAAUAUGAGAUCUAUGUCCAAGGGCAUAUUAUACUUGUCAUUUUCACUAUAUGAAACAUGAUCCUAAGCCACAUAUAAAAAUGCUAUUUUUAUGCAAGAUUCCAAUAUAUAUAACUCUCUACUAUAUAGAGGUCCAAAUUUGCAUUGUACAUAACAUGUGCAUUUCAAGCAUUCUAAAAUUCAUAUAUGCCCUAUCUAGCAUGAAUAUGCAUGAUUUUCUAUUUUACAAUAUUUAAAAUGACAUAGGUGAGAUUUUCUCAUUUUGGUAAGGUCAAACCGACCGAGGUUUUUUGCAACCCUUUCGUUUGCGCAAAAGAAGUUGUCCCCAAGUCUUCUAGCUCCCUAAAGAGAAUUCUAAGUGAGUUAAACAAAUUAAACGAACACUCAAAGUGUUCAUCUAAAAAUCCACCCAAGGAUAAGGCAAAACUCACCUAAAGUGUAGAAAAUCCCUCUCAAAUUCCAAAUGGAAGCUAGAGCCCUUCAAAACUAUCCCAACGAGAUGUUCUACACCUAUCAAUUGAGUCCCAAAGGCCUCUAAUCAAAAAUCCCCAAAUAACCCUAAUUUCUCAUUCUAAGGUUUCAUCUAUCAAAAUCUAUCAAAAUAUGAAUCUAAAGCAAGAAACAUGUUACUAACCUCUCUAGAAGCUUCAAACAAGGUUCAAAAUCAGCUAGGGUUGAAGAUCUCCCCUCCAACUAGCUUCAAUCCAAGCUUCGAGCCUUCAACAAUGAUGGAAAUGCAACCAAAAUACCAUAAAGAAGCAAAAUAGGUGAUUAAAUCACCAAAAACCGAGCAAAAGGGAAAGAAAUCAAAAGAGAAGAAAAGAAGGGCUCUCUACCUUGUUCUCCUGUGAUUCCCAGCUCAGGAGACCCAGCAAAGGGCGUGGGUUAUUUGUAGGAUUGCUACAAUAACAAAAACACCCUUCAAAAACCGCGAGACUGCAGUCUGCACUGCGUACCGGUACAGUACACGAUAAAGAGUAUCGGUACCAAACACUGUACGCGCAAACCCGAGCCUCGGGUUUGCAGAAAACGUAGCCUGAUACCGGUACAAACCCGAUGUUGUACCGGUACAACCUCUCAUUCCGGUACAAGCUCAUGCUGUACCGAUACCACACUCUGCAGAAUUCAACCCGAGAGCAGCCUAAGUCCUUCUCUUUGGAGACCUUAGGGCUAAGUUUAAAACAUCGAUUCUCGAGAUGCGAGCCAUAGGUCGGAACACCGUCACGACCCUCCAGAAAAUGUGGAAAAGCUCGGAACACAAAUCAAACACUCGAACCUCGCAAUUUGCAAAGGUCUAGUGUGUUACAAGGAGGACCUUGAACAACUGAUUGAUGCGAUGUGAUUAAACUACAAGGCCUGGGCCUCAGGUAUGACCCCUUGGCGGUGGGUGGGGACAUGGAAUCAGUAGCGGUUCAGGAGUUUAGUCGAACACUAUUCAACAUCCGGCCCGACAUCACCUUGAGCGUGCUUCAGACCAUCUUCGGGAGCAACAUCCGCCGGGCACACCACCACGUCCACCACUACCCGCCCUGCCACCCGUUCCAGCGCUAGCUGCUCGUGAUGGUGAGGUGUGGGGUGUCGUCGGUCGAGUGCAUGGCGGGGAAGGAGGAGGAUGAAGAGAAAGAGAAAGAAAAAUAGUGUAAUAUACCGAAACUUCGAUAGGUUGUACCGAACUUCAGUCAAAUUGACCGAAGUGCGGAGUGGAACUAGUUAGAAUGGUCUGUUAAUCAUUCCGAGUGUUUCAGAGUGUAUGUUAUGAGUGUAUGGACCUUGGAGAGCAAGCUCAUAAAUUUUCAACUCAAAUUGUGCUGGAAAUGCUCUCGGGGUCCAGACCCUAAGUGCAAGGUCCGAACCCCGUACCCGCAAAUUCGUGGGUUUGUUCAGUACAGUAAAUUGGUGAGGGGCCUAUGUGCAAAUGUCACAUAUGGGACCAUAUAUGUGAGUUGGAUGCCCUAGUUCUCAUUCCCUCACUUGUGAACAAAGAGUUGGAACUCUCUUUCUCUUCCUAGAGCUCCUCUCAUCUCUCUCUCUCUCUCCUUCUCUCACUAGGGUUGCUCCAAAAGGAAACUUGGUGGAGAAGAAGACUUCUUGGAGGGUGGAGUUAGCACUUGUACAAGAGGUUGAGGAAGAAAGCUUGAACUCAAGGUGAGUUCUCAUGGUUUAGAAGCUAGGGUUUUGAGUAGUCUCUUCUAGUUAUGGUAUCUAGAAGCUAUUAUGGUAGAUUAAUGUAUGAAUCUCCAUGUGUUUAAGGAUAUUUGGCGAUUAUUAGAAACCCUAGGGUCAAAUUGGGGUUUUGGUAGAUAUGAGAUCUAACUAGGGUUUGAUUUCUUGUAGCUCUAAUUGGAGAGAAAACCGACGUGUCGGGAAACUCGGAUCAAGAUUCCGUUGAGUCUACGCCAAGAAAUUGAGGGAAAACCCUGUUCCGCUUCGUUUGCCAUGGUCGAAGGGAAUAGGCGAUUAUAAAUCACAAGACUUGAAUCGUAGCCUUCCGACAUCCCUAUGAGGUGGGUGGUGCUAUCCGAAAUCAUCGAAUCUCCUUUUAUGUCUAAAUGUCACCCAUUGAGCAUGUAUAUGUAUAGUAGGAUUCAUACAUUGUAGGGUUAAUGAGAAUGUAUGUGUAUAUCCUUUGCAUGCUUUUAGUAUAAAGAUGCAUAUGAGUUGAGAAUGAGAUAUUGAGCAUUGUGAACCCUAUAUAUGUAUGAAUUAAGAUAUGAACCUAGUUGAGGUAAAGAAUAUGGUGACAUUGUGACAAGUGAGUGAAAUAGCACCUUGUGGCAUUAGUGAGUAUAAAGAAUGCUAGAAAAUGAGACACUUUGUGUUGUGACAUUAGUGAGCAUAAAGAAUGCUAGAGAAUGAGACACUUUAUGUUGUGGCAUUAGUGAACAUAAUGAAUGCUAAAGAAUGAGAUACUUUGUGUUGUGGCAUGUGUGAACAUGGCAUCCUCAUAGUUGAGGACUCUCUCAUAGUUGAGGAUUGGAUUGUUGAGGAUUGGAUCAUACUCACUUGUAAGUCUUGACUUGAGGGCAAUAGCUCCCUCUCAAGCGAUGAGCUCCGGUGUUGCCAUCACUGGGUUAUAGUUUCCCCAGAGGACAAUCCCGUUGGGUUGUAAGAGUUUCUCCCCGAUAGUAGGGAUUUGAGUUGGUGAGUUUUGGGCGAAACCUACGGGUUAGCCGAGAGGAUUGGGUAUUGAGAGUGGUAAUUGACAUGCAUCAUGAGCAUCAUAUAUUGUUAGCAUUCUUGUUCAGGCAUAGUAGCUGCAUUUGUUUAGUAUGGUUACCUAUCUAUUUGUUUCUUCUACUUAUGCCUGAUUUGGACCUAGUGGGAAAGUCGGCGGGGUCGGCGGCCGAACCCACUGGGAACUUUCUUGUAGUUCUCACCCCACUAUUUUCACAAAUCCAGGUCCGAGCGAGGCGGUCGAGGACCAUGGCAAGGGUAUCGCACCCUAGCUAGUGACUACCCGAGUAUAGUACCUACCUUGUCAUUAUCAUCUUUUGUUUAUGAUGAGCAAAUGUAUUAAUGAUGUAUAAAUGUAAAAAACUUAUGUUUUAGAUGAUAAUCAUGUGGUGUAUAUGAAAGAAUGAAAGAAUGUAAAUGGUUAUAUGCAUGUAUUUGAUUAAAAGUAAUCAUAGUACUUGUAUGGAUGUUAUAGUGUAGAACUUUCACUUUGGUUAUUGCUUGCCCUCUCGCAAGCCAUGUAUAUCUAUAUUUCCGCUUGCGCAAAUUUAUAUACAUGUUGAUAGGUGUUGAGCCUUGGGCGGGCAGGGGAGGUGCUGUCUGUCCGGCGUCUGUUGACGUGUCCGAACCGACCAAAUCGGCGGUCCCGGGGCGUGACAAAUAGUGUAAAUUGGAGAAGGAAGAAAGAAAACAGAAAGUGUAAAUUUUACGUAAGUAGUGCAACUUUGUCCUAAAGAGUAUAAAUCUGAUCCCGAAGAGUGUAAUUUUUAUCUCAAAAAGUGCAACUUUCAUUUAAAACAACAAAAAAACUUUUAAACAGUAUAAUUUUAUUUUAAUAGUGCAAUUUCAUCUUCUUCUUUCUUCUUCUAUAAUUUUUUGUCUUUAUUUUUUUUUCUUCCUUCUUCAAUAAUUUUUUUUAGUCACGCCUCUCCGCCAACAGCCAUGGCGUCGGCAACGACGCCGCUAAGAACCCCCUCGCUUCGAGGUUGCGGCACUGCAACAACCUCCGCGGCAUUGGCGUCGGCGGAGAGGCGGUAGAGGAGGCGGAGGAAAAGGGAAAGGCCGAGGGCGAGAAGAGCGGGAAAGGGCGAGAGAGGGUGAGAGAGAUGUCAUCAUCGAAGACCAUGGAGGAGGGUCGGAGAGGGAAAAAAAAAAAAAGUCGCGGCGCGAUCUCAGCGGGGUCGGAGGCGAGAAAGGCGAGAGUGUGCGCGGGCGAGAGCGAGGGUAUGAGGGUGAGAGGCGAGGCGGGCCGUUUCCGCCUCUACCUCUGCCUCCGCUGCCUUCUUCGAGGAGAGAAANAAAAAAGAGAGAAAAAAAAUAAUAAUGAUAUUUUGAUUAGUUUACUGAAAAUUCGGACUGAAUUUAUAAAAUCGAAAAAAACCGCCCAAUUUUUGCAAAACCUCAAAAUUUAUGAAUUUUUUAUGCAAAUUGGCCUUGAAUAUAAACUACCGCCUCCAUCAUGUUAUAUCCUAAAUCCUAAAUAGUCCAACAAAAGAGAGCUAUGGACAAAAGCUAAUUGGGUAUAUAAAGUGAAAGAAGGGCAAAAAGCAUACCCUCAUGAAUUCUAUUGAUGAUGUUAUAUAGUACAAAAAAUGAGUCUAAUAUAGUAAAAAUGUCUAAUAUAGUAACAAUAUAACUAGGCAUCUCAUAUUAUAUAAUUCUACUCUAAAUAUGUCAUAAUAUAUAAUAUCCUUAUAUAGCAUGAGAUUCUAAAUAUGUCGUCACAUAAAGGCAACCUAUACCUUGUACGAAUAACUUGGGGUGAGGUGUUUUGGACAACUCGCUCAGGCCAAUUAUUUAUUUAUAGUCGUUACAAAACAACUCGUUUCCCUAAUAAUAGUUUACAUCUAAAGUUAACAAUUAUUCCAUACUUUUGGGCUUACUAUUCGAAAUAAUGGAAAAGUGCAGGAUUCAAAUUAUUUCAACUUUUUAUGCAAGAGAAAUAUUAAGACAAGUCGAGCGUGUUAUUUUGUAAAUUAGGCAAGUUACAAUGGAAGAUCAAAAAAUAUAUAUACAUAGAAUUAAACAAAAAAAAAGGAGGAAAAAAAAAUAAAUUUCCUUCAAUAAUGCCAGGUUAGACAAAUAAACCAGAAUAUCAUUUAAUCUGUGCGUUCAACUUGCCUGUAAAAUAAAAAAUAACAAGAAACAACUAACAUCUGAGCAUGAGGUAGUGUAGUUGGCAAGGGAGAUAUUCUAGCCACCUCAACAACAGAAUUAUGCAUACAAAGUGAGCUACUAACCCUAUUGUGAAACUCAUAUGAUGCUAAAAUUAUAUUAAAAAAAAAAAAAGACAAGAAUUUACAUGUUAAAUAAUGGAUUCACUUCUCGUGAUCGUCGUUCGAAGGGUCGAUCUUGAUGACGAGAGGUUGGUGUAGAUCCGACGGAGGAGCCGUCACGGUGACAGGUAGUUGAGGGGUGACUAAGACGCUACCGACAUCUGGGUUCUCAGCCAAUGCUUUAUCUAAAGAAGCCUUUGCGACUUUCGUCACAAUUACCACCAGGAUCACUGUACAAUUAUAAAAUCACAAGGUAAAUAUUCAUGUAUUGCACAUGAAAGUUGAUUUGUAAGAGUCUUGCAACACGCCAGUGCACUUAACAAAAGUAUAAAAACUAUCAUUCAUUAUACGCCUACUCUUGCUUUACAUCCAUGCAGGCGUCGAGUAUCUAAAUGCCUUGCUCAAAUUUACAGUUACAUGAGGAAUUGAAUAUAUACGUCGUAGAGGUGCAAUCGAACAGGGUAAGAGCCAGGUAACACACACCGGUUCCAAGUCAAUAAUUUGAAUUAGUAGGAAAAUGGACUUGUGCCCUCCUAUUUUUUCUUUUUUCUUUUUCCUUCGUUUUUUGUUCCGGAUGCGACGGGUCUGGAAAGGGUUCAAACAUAAAAGCCCGUCUACUAUCAGGUCGGCAAUGGGUCAAUACAGGGGCCAAUAUAAUGAGAAGAAAUAACAAAAAAAUAGACCUUAUUUGAAAAUAUAAGUAGUUUAUAACAUAUUGAGAGCUUAUCCUUGCAUAAAUAUCCAUCCACUUAAUCCUGCAAGAAAUGUCCAUUUCAUCUUUGAAGUGGAGAAAUGUCUAAAUUUACCCCUUAUCAAACUAAUAGAAAGAACUAAGAAAAAUUGUUACUAGAAAAAACAAUAAAGAAAAGAAAAUAUCAUUGAAAACAACUAUGGCUGAAAAAGAAAAAAAUAUAUAUAAGAUAUGAAAACAGGUGGAAUCUAUACUCAAGUAUCGAAUAGGAGAACCAGGUUCAGGUCGGACCUAGGCUGAAAUGGAGCAUCUAAUCUAUUAAACCCAGACCAUGAUAUGAAAUUUUUAUGGUUCCCAUUUUAUACCACACACCAAUCCAUUCAAACUCAGGUGAUUGGGCCAGUGUUAGAUAAUCAGGCCUAGGUCGCAUCUCUACUCUUAACUGAUCACAUGGUUUUCAUGCUUUAAUGGAGACAAAUCAGAAGUAAUACUUCCCACUAGAACUCAUGCAGGUGUAUAUUAUGUGUACCUUGUAAACCAAUUUGAUAGAAGGCAUCUAUCAAGGACUUUAGGAUUAUAAAUGAAACAGCACUUACCAGAUACUAUAAAGCCCGAUAUUAUGAGCACCUGAAAUAAUUGAGAGAAGAAAUUUGUCAAGAAGUAAUACAGGACAGUAAAGUAAUGCACGACACAAUUGCUGAGCACAAAGUGAACAGAAAUGUGCAAAAAAAAAAACAACGAAAAGAUGGCUUAUUGUCAAAAUAAAACAAUGCUAGGUGAGAGUCUUAUAAGAAAGAUACAAACAAGUAUGUUGCAUCUAUAUUGUCAGAAAUAUGGUAAACUUUUGGAACAUAUUUGUUUACAAAAUGUAUAUGACAUCAAGUCCAAGAAAGGACAAAAUGAGGCUUAGCUUUUGUAUAUUUCUGUGCAAUUGGAUUAUUAAGCAACUUGGCCUAGUUUGGCAUGUAGAAAAGCUAGGAUAGGAUACACACAUUCGCUAACAUAAUACAGCACUAACAGACUUGACAUAUCCUAGUUUGGCUGAGAUCUUUGAUAGGCUAUUUUUUGAACAUUUUGCUUGUAUCAUCUUUAACAAAAAAAGAAAUUGGUGGUUGAGAAAUUGGCUCACCUAUAAGAAGAACAAAUUUUUCGAUAGACCGCAAGUUAGUUCAAACUGAGGAAUAGAUUUGUUGCUUGGAAUCAACAAGACCCAAUUGUUACCAACUAUGAUCAACCAAGUGAAAGCAAAAUUCACAGACAACGAUGAUGUUUAGUAGAGUUUCUAUAAAAACUUAAGCUGCUAGGCAGGGUGUCAAUAUUUUAAACAGAGCACUCCUUUUAUCUUAAGGCCUAUUAUAUGAUUCUCCUGCUAGAAAUCAAACUCAAAACCUCUAGCUAUGAUACAUGAAAAAUAAUUGAUUUCCCUGAAAGAUUAAGCUCUUCAUAAAUAAUGAUAUGCAUUACAUAUUGUAAAAUAAGAUCGAGAAAAUAAUAGGUGCAAUCACACACAAGUUGAGGCUCAAAUAUUUAUUCGAUUCAUAAUGGAUCAUAUUUCAAAAGAUUAAUUUAUAACCAUCAGAUCCACCACAUUAACCUUAUAACAAACAUGAAUCCAAGUUUACCCUUGAAAAUAGUAGAAUAGAAGAUCAAUUUAGAACCAUCAGAUCCAACACAUUAACCUAAUAACAAACAUGAAUCCAACCCAUGGAUCAAUAGUUUACCCUUAAAAAUAGUAAAAUAGAAACUAAUCCACCAAAUGGGGUCAAAUUAGAUCCAAAUUAUGCUGGUUGAUUGCGGUCGAUUUGACCAAAGUGUCAAACUAAAAACAAACUCGGCCAGACUCAAUUUUUCUUUCCUCAAAAUUGUAUCAAGGUUUGGUCAAGAUGUUUUCUAAAUGAGAAAGCAGGUAUUAGUACUUUACAACCAGAACUCUCUCUUUAAAUUACUGUCUAUCCAAAGGACACAUAAGAAACUGCAAGUUUUUCAUUCAGGAAUAACUCUCCCUCUUGGGAUGUCUUCUACCUCACUAUUUAGCUUCCCUUACUGGUGCACUAAAUUUUGUCCAUUAGAAGUAAUCAAACUGCCUAAGACAAUCCUAAAAUAUCUUUCUCUAAAUUAACUACUACUAAGUUGCAAUGCCAUGUUCUAUCUUCUCUUUUUGGCGAACUUAUAACUAAUGUUUUUAAUCUAACGAAUCAAGAAGAGAUUAUCUGUUAAUUUUUCACUCCAUCAAUAUUCAUGUCUUAUUACUUUGCAGUAAUGUACGCUAAAUCAUUAGUACUCGAAACCAAAAUGCAUUACAACUUUACAAAUUCUAUGAAUGUCCUCCAGAAGGCUCCAUUAGAUUUAGUAAUGGUAUGCAGCAAUUGCAUACGGUACAAAAAUCUGUUUUUGUCCUGCUUUAGUUUCUAUAAAAUGCAUUAUCCUUAAUCUUGCACCUAGUAGAUUUUCUAGAAAUACCUUGUGCUGACAAUUAUUAGCAUGAAGUUAGCAUGCCAGGAGCACACUGCACUUUACCGGCACAGGGAGCAGGACUACGGCACAAAAAUUCUUGAUAAAGAGAAAAUGCAAAUGUUUCUAAAGAGAUUUUGAUCUAUCAACAUAAUCUAGUAACCAAGGUGUAUGUAUUUUCAUGCUAUCUGACAACUAAACCAACAACUAUUUGAAAUUUUGAAUACAAGUAAUUGGAUCAAAAUAAAACUUGCAUCCCACAAUAUAAAAGUUGAUAGUUCAAAAUACAGAUCAUUAGAGACAAAUCUGAACCAGCAAUUAUGAUGUGAAGAUAUCUGUUUGUUUCAAACGUUAAUUGAUAACAAUGGCUAAGUCUGCAAAUAUGUUCACAACAUUCAGCAGAAAAAUGGAUUUGCAAGUACAAUGAUCAUAGAAGUUUAAAGGAACUUACCAAGCGGGUGGUCGAAAUCUCACUCCAUCCAUGAGUCACAUCAGCCAGAUCCUUUAAAGUUGUUCCAACAUAUACUAAUGCAAGAGUGAUUGGCUGUUCAAGUCAACACUAUACAUCAAAAAUCCUUCUGAAAUCAAUGUCUUUCAGCAACCAAAAAAAAAAAGAAAGAAGAAGAGAUCUGCUACAGUGAGUACCAUCUUUUCCUAACUUCCAAAUUAUAGGUUACAUAUGAACAUAACAGUGAAAUGCAACCCUUGACUUACCUAGCAUCACACUACAUAGCACAAGAUAAGCAAACCACAAGAUGCUAGAAAUUUUAAGAAAUAGAUUAAAAAUUUAUAGACAAUAAAAGGCAAUGACAUUUGUUUAUCGAUCCUAAAUUUAUUGAUACAAAAAUAUAUUUGACGAUAAACUAGUACGAAUGCAUUGCAUCUGCAGUACAACAAGAAUAGUAAAAUAGCACAAAAAGAGAAUUAUUGACAUGGAUUUCCUCAGAAAUCUGUUCCAAUCGGCCUAUUCCUAUUAGGAUUAGGGUUUCUUCUUAAUAUUUCUUUAUAUUAGGAUUAUUUUUAUAUGUUUUAAUUUCAUUCGAUUAUGUUAGUAUUCCUCAAAUUAUGGUUUUCAGGAUCUUAUAAAUAAAAGACCAAACACCCCCUUUGAAUUCAUCAAUUAAUUCCAUCAAUUAAGAAGAGAUUUUAGGGUUCUACCUUAGGCCAUGAGUAGAAUAUCGUACCAAAUCCAAUCUGCCAAACAGCAGCAAAGCAAGAAAGGCAAAUGAAACUAUUAAAUCCUAAAGCAUCUUUUAUGUAUGUUCAGAAUGAUAAAUGCAGCAAUUUAUUUCUCAAUGGCAAUUGAGAAGCAGGAGAAUCAUAAAAAGAAAUUUUAACUUCCAGGGGCACACAUAUUCUCAUACUCUUCAGGCUAAACAACAAUUUACCCCUCUUAAGGUUUAAUGCAUUUGCACUCUGAGACCCUUGUGUUUUAAACGUUGCUCAUUGGUAUCUUGUAAUUUUAUUUUUCAUGCACCCUACAACCAAUGUUUGACCCAGUCCAAAGACCAGUAUGGUCAACCUAAUAUAUACAACCAGAAUAGGUAGAAAACCAGAAAAAAGAAAAAAAUAAAAAUAAAAUAAAAAAGAGGCUUAAAACCGGCCUAACCAACUAGUUGAACCGCACAGGCUCAGAUAAACCAGU